UUUUUUCUUUUUUUUCAAGCCUGGCUGCGUUGACCGGGUUGGAUGGAGAACGGGUGAGUAACACGUGAGUAACCUGCCCUGACUUCGGGAUAAGCCCGGGAAACUGGGUAUAAUACCGGAUACGACUGCCGGACGCAUGUCUGGUGGUGGAAAGUUUUUUCGGUUGGGGAUGGGCUCGCGGCCUAUCAGUUUGUUGGUGAGGUAAUGGCUCACCAAGACGACGACGGGUAGCCGGCCUGAGAGGGCGACCGGCCACACUGGGACUGAGACACGGCCCAGACUCCUAACGGGAGGCAGCAGUGGGGAAUAUUGCACAAUGGGGGAAACCCUGAUGCAGCGACGCAGCGUGCGGGACUGACGGCCUUCGGGUUGUAAACCGCUUUUCAGCCAAUGGCAAGAAAUCCGGAAAGUAGAAAGGUCACCUAGCAAGAACAAACGUACCCGGACUAAACCCUAACA
rnacentral:rRNA from 1 species